rnacentral:snRNA from 1 species
GUGCUCGCUUCAGCAGCACAUAUACUAAAAUUGGAACGAUACAGAGAAGAUUAGCAUGGCCCCUGCACAAGGAUGACACACAAAUUCGUGAAGUGUUCCAUAUUUUU